rnacentral:lncRNA from 1 species
AUCUCCGCAUCCCCCCAGGCCAGCAGUUUGGGAUCCACAUAGGCCAGGAAACAGCAGCAGCACAGCCUUGUUCCCAGCAUUACCUAUGGGGUAGUGGGGAAGGAAGCAGUGCUGCUCAGUGGGGGGCUGGGUGACCAAAAGGGACAGAUGCCAGUGCUUUCCUUGCUGGCAUUUGCAGGGCCAUGGAGGGCUUUGGGGGAAGGAAGGAAGUCUUGCAUGCUGCCCUGUGGGCUCACCAGCUUUCAGUUUCAGUUAUCCCAUGCCUUUGCCAGAUCUCAGCUGUGUUGUUUUUCCUUUUUCUCAGGGAUACUGCUUGAACCCAGGAGUGCCUUUCCAGAGGGCAGAGCCCAGGGAAGCACAGUGCGAGGAUGUGGCAAUGUGCUCCCCAUGUGUUGUGCAGGAUGGGCUGUCCUCAGAGGUGGGGUCAGCCUCAGCUCUUUGAAGAUCUAUGGGAUGCAGACCAGGGAUGCUGAUGUAGUCAACUGUACAACUGUACAAC